GGGUAAGCCCUGUACGACCAGCUCCUGUUGAACUUCCCCAGGAUCGGAAGGUAGCAAGGAUAAAAUGGUUGAGCGGUGCGCUGCAGCAAGCUUACCCUUU
rnacentral:SRP_RNA from 1 species